AAGUCGUAACAAGGUUACCGUAGGUGAACCUGCGGUAGGAUCAUUAACAAUGUAUCUCAACCAUGUAUGUGAACAGAACGUGACUUUGGUAGGCUCCUUAACUGAUUGCAACAUCAGUUUUGUGACCUACCAAUUUAGUUAAACGCCAUGAAACCCAAGAGUGUAAUUGAACAUAACAAUUCAAAAACAACUUUUAGCAACGGAUCUCUAGGCUCUC
rnacentral:misc_RNA from 1 species